GACACACAGCGCAAACGUUAUUCAGAUGGACUGGGCGUAAAGGGUACGUAGGCGGCAUUUUAAACUAAGUGCGAAAGACCGGAUGUUUUCUUCGGAAGAGUGCUUAAAUAUUGUUUUGCUUUGAAUUAAGGUGGGGUUGGAGGUAGUUCUAGUGUAAGGGUAGAAUCUCGCAAACCUGGAACGACCAUCUAUGGCGAAGGCGUCCUUCUGGCCUUAAUUGACGCUGAGGUACGAAAGUGUGGGGAGGCAAACAGG
rnacentral:rRNA from 1 species